GAUGAACGCUAGCGGCAGGCCUAAUACAUGCAAGUCGGACGGGAUCCAUUGAUAGCUUGCUAUCAAUGGUGAGAGUGGCGCACGGGUGCGUAACGCGUGAGCAACCUGCCUCCAUCAGGGGGAUAGCCUCUCGAAAGAGAGAUUAACACCGCAUAAUAUCAACAGUUCGCAUGUUCAGUUGAUUAAAUAUUUAUAGGAUGGAGAUGGGCUCGCGUGACAUUAGCUAGUUGGUAGGGUAACGGCUUACCAAGGCGACGAUGUCUAGGGGCUCUGAGAGGAGAAUCCCCCACACUGGUACUGAGACACGGACCAGACUCCUACGGGAGGCAGCAGUAAGGAAUAUUGGGCAAUGGGCGGAAGCCUGAACCAGCCAUGCCGCGUGCAGGAUGACUGCCCUAUGGGUUGUAAACUGCUUUUGUCCAGGAAUAAACCUAAAUACGAGUAUUUAGCUGAAUGUACUGGAAGAAUAAGGAUCGGCUAACUCCGUG
rnacentral:rRNA from 1 species